AACGAACGCUGGCGGCGUGCCUAACACAUGCAAGUCGUGCGAGAAAGUUCCUUCGGGAGCGAGUAAAGCGGCGCACGGGUGAGUAACACGUAGGUAACCUGCCCCCAGUCUGGAACAACGUAGAGGAAACUCUAAGCUAAUGCCGGAUGGGACCACGAUCCCUUCGGGGGUUGCGGGCCAAAGAUGGCCUCUACUUGUAAGCUAUCGCUGAGGGAUGGGCCUGCGGGCCAUUAGCUUGGUUGGUGAGGUAACGGCUCACCAAGGCUGUGAUGGCUAGCUGGUCUGAGAGGAUGACCAGCCACGCUGGGACUGAGACACGGCCCAGACUCCUACGGGAGUCAGCAGGUGGGGAACUAUUGCGCAAUGGGCGAAAGCCUGACGCAGCGACGCCGCGUGGGUGAUGAAGGCC
rnacentral:rRNA from 1 species